GAAAAGUUAAAGUGCAUGAAGGUGGUGGUGUCUUCAAGGAGACUGCAUGGAAGAAUCUGAGAGUGGGAGAUAUAGUGAAGGUGGAGAAGGAUGAAUUCUUUCCGGCAGACCUCCUCUUGAUUUCCUCUAGUUAUGACGAUGCAAUCUGCUAUGUUGAGACCAUGAACCUUGAUGGAGAGACAAACUUGAAAGUAAAACAGGCAGUGGAGGCAACUUCUUUCUUACAUGAGGAUUCCAACUAUAAGGAUUUCAAGGCACAUGUCAAAUGUGAAGAUCCAAAUGCAAAUUUGUACUCCUUUAUUGGAACUUUGGAGUUUGAAGAAAACCAAUAUGCCCUCAGUCCUCAGCAGCUUCUACUCAGAGACUCAAAACUCAGAAAUACGGACUACAUAUAUGGGGCAGUUAUCUUCACUGGACAUGACACAAAGGUUAUGCAAAAUUCUACAGCUCCUCCUUCAAAGAGAAGCAAAAUUGAAAAGAAGAUGGAUUCAAUUGUAUACCUCUUGUUCAGUAUCGUAUUUUUGAUGGCAUUAAUUGGAUCUAUUGUCUUUGGCAUUACAACUAAAGAUGAUUUAGAAAAUGGCAGG
rnacentral:misc_RNA from 1 species